rnacentral:rRNA from 1 species
ACACGACUACAUUAGAUACCCCCGUAGUCCUAGCCGUAAACGAUACUCGCUAGGUGUCGGCCACGGUGCGACCGUUGUCGGUGCCGUAGGGAAGCCGUGAAGCGAGCCACCUGGGAAGUACGGCCGCAAGGCUGAAACUUAAAGGAAUUGGCGGGGGAGCACCGCAACGGGAGGAGCGUGCGGUUCAAUUGGAUUCAACGCCGGACAACUCACCAGGAGCGACGGUUACAUGAAGGCCAGGCUGAUGACCUUGCCUGAUUUUCCG